CCCUUAGAUGUUCUGGGCCGCACGCGCGCUACACUGAAGGAAUCAGCGUGGCUUUCUCCCUGACCCGAAAGGGUUGGGAAACCCGUUGAAUCUCCUUCGUGAUAGGGAUUGGGGCUUGAAAUUGUUCCCCAUGAACGAGGAAUUCCCAGUAAGCGCGAGUCAUAAGCUCGCGUUGAUUACGUCCCUGCCCUUUGUACACACCGCCCGUCGCUACUACCGAUUGAAUGCUCAGGUGAGCCAUUCGGACUUUCAUCAUGCUGGUUUCCAGUUUUGAUGAAGGAAAGUCUUGCGAACCUUAUCAUUUAGAGGAAGGAGAAGUCGUAACA
rnacentral:rRNA from 1 species